rnacentral:rRNA from 1 species
CCUCUUCGGAGGUACUCGAGCGGCGGACGGCUGAGUAACACGUAGGAACGUACCCCAAAGUGAGGGAUAACUGCUCGAAAGAGUAGCUAAUACCGCAUGUGAUCUAAGGAUUAAAGCUUCGGCGCUUUGGGAACGGCCUGCGCAUGAUUAGCUAGUUGGUGAGGUAAUAGCUCACCAAGGCGAUGAUCAUUAGCUGGUCUGAGAGGAUGAUCAGCCAGACUGGGACUGAGAACGGCCCAGACUCCUACGGGAGGCAGCAGUAGGGAAUUUUCCACAAUGGACGAAAGUCUGAUGGAGCAACGCCGCGUGCAGGAUGAAUGCCUUCGGGUUGUAAACUGCUUUUAUUAGUGACGAUUAUGACGGUAACUAAUGAAUAAGGACCUGCUAACUACGUGCCAGCAGCCGCGGUCAUACGUAGGGUCCAAGCGUUAUCCGGAAUUACUGGGCGUAAAGAGUUGCGUAGGUGGCAGAGUAAGUAGAUAGUGAAAGCGUGUGGCUCAACCAUACAUCCAUUAUCUAAACUGCUCAGCUAGAGGAUGAGAGAGGUAGAUGGAAUUUCUGAUGUAGGGGUAAUAUCCGUAGAUAUCAGAAGGAACACCGAUGGCGUAAGCAGUCUACUGGCUCAUUCCUGACACUAAGGCACGAAAGCGUGGGGAGCAAACAGGAUUAGAUACCCUGGUAGUCCACGCCGUAAACUAUGGAUGCUAGCUGUAAGAGGUAUCGACCCCUCUUGUAGCGAAGCUAACGCGUUAAGCAUCCCGCCUGUGGAGUACGAGCGCAAGCUUAAAACAUAAAGGAAUUGACGGGGACCCGCACAAGC